UAGGGAAUAUUGCUUAAUGGGCGCAAGCCUGAAGCAGCAACGCCGCGUGUGCGAUGACGGCCUUCGGGUUGUAAAGCACUUUUAGGUGGGAAGAGGAAGGACGGUACCACCUGAAUAAGCCUCGGCUAACUACGUGCCAGCAGCCGCGGUAAAACGUAGGAGGCGAGCGUUAUCCGGAUUUACUGGGUGUAAAGCGCGUGCAGGCGGCUCGCUAAGUUGGAUGUGAAAGCUCCCGGCUCAACUGGGAGAGGUCGUACAAGACUGGCGGGCUGGAGAAUGGUAGGGGAAGGUGGAAUUCCGGGUGUAGUGGUGAAAUGCGUAGAUAUCCGGAGGAACACCAGUGGCGAAGGCGGCCUUCUGGACCAUUUCUGACGCUCAGACGCGAAAGCUAGGGUAGCAAACGGGAUUAGAGACCCCGGUAGUCCUAGCCGUAAACGAUGUGAACUUGGCGGCGGUUGGGUAAAACCGAUCGGUGCCGAAGCAAACGCGAUAAGUUCACACCUGGGGACUACGGCCGC
rnacentral:rRNA from 1 species